rnacentral:rRNA from 1 species
CCUACGGGAGCAGCAGUGGGGAAUUUUGGACAAUGGGCGAAAGCCUGAUCCAGCAAUGCCGCGUGCAGGAUGAAGGCCUUCGGGUUGUAAACUGCUUUUGUACGGAACGAAACGGCGAGCUCUAAUACAGUUUGCUAAUGACGGUACCGUAAGAAUAAGCACCGGCUAACUACGUGCCAGCAGCCGCGGUAAUACGUAGGGUGCGAGCGUUAAUCGGAAUUACUGGGCGUAAAGCGUGCGCAGGCGGUUCUAUAAGACAGAUGUGAAAUCCCCGGGCUCAACCUGGGAAUUGCAUUUGUGACUGUAGAGCUAGAGUACGGUAGAGGGGGAUGGAAUUCCGCGUGUAAGCAGUGAAAUGCGUAGAUAUGCGGAGGAACACCGAUGGCGAAGGCAAUCCCCUGGACCUGUACUGACGCUCAUGCACGAAGCGUGGGGAGCAAACAGGAUUAGAUACCCUGGUAGUCCACGCCCUAAACGAUGUCAACUGGUUGUUGGGUCUUCACUGCUCAGUAACGAAGCUAACGCGUGAAGUUGACCGCCUGGGGGUAAGGUACGGCCGCGAGUAGUUAACGUUACGAAGUUAGAGUUGACGGCGNGAGACGNGCGAGGACGACGACGAGGGAGGAGG